rnacentral:rRNA from 2 species
UAGGGAAUUUUCGGCAAUGGGCGCAAGCCUGACCGAGCAACGCCGCGUGAGUGAAGAAGGCCUUCGGGUUGUAAAGCUCUGUUGUAAGGGAAGAAUGGCCAAGAGAGGGAAUGCUCUUGGAGUGACGGUACCUUACCAGAAAGCCACGGCUAACUACGUGCCAGCAGCCGCGGUAAUACGUAGGUGGCAAGCGUUAUCCGGAAUUAUUGGGCGUAAAGGGAGCGUAGGCGGUUUGAUAAGUCUGAGGUGAAAGUUCGGGGCUCAACUCCGGAUUGCCUUAGAAACUGUCAGACUAGAGUGCAGGAGAGGGCAAUGGAAUUCCAUGUGUAGCGGUAAAAUGCGUAGAUAUAUGGAGGAACACCAGUGGCGAAGGCGGUUGCCUGGCCUGUAACUGACGCUGAGGCUCGAAAGCGUGGGGAGCAAAUAGG